rnacentral:lncRNA from 1 species
CAAGAGAUUUGCUGGCUCCAGUCAAUUUGAAAACAUGGGCUGGCUCGUCAAUUUGACAACAAGAUUUGCUGGCUCAGUCAAUUGAACAACAAGAGAUUUGCUGGCUCAUAGUCAAUUUGACAACGAGAUUUGCUGGCUCCAGUCAAUUUGACAACAAGAG